rnacentral:rRNA from 1 species
GACGAACGCUGGCGGCGUGCUUAACACAUGCAAGUCGAACGAUGAACUGGAGCUUGCUCCAGGGAUUAGUGGCGAACGGGUGAGUAACACGUGAGUAACCUGCCCUUGACUCUGGGAUAAGCGCUGGACACGGCGUCUAAUACCGGAUACGAGCUUCAGCCGCAUGGCUAGGAGUUGGAAAGAAUUUCGGUCAAGGAUGGACUCGCGGCCUAUCAGCUAGUUGGUGAGGUAAUGGCUCACCAAGGCGACGACGGGUAGCCGGCCUGCGAGGGUGACCGGCCACACUGGGACUGAGACGCGGCCCAGACUCCUACGGGAGGCAGCAGUGGGGAAUAUUGCACAAUGGGCGCAAGCCUGAUGCAGCAACGCCGCGUGAGGGAUGACGGCCUUCGGGUUGUAAACCUAUUUUAGUAGGGAAGAAGCGAAAGUGACGGUACCUGCAGAAAAAGCACCGGCUAACUACGUGCCAGCCGCCGCAGUAA